rnacentral:lncRNA from 1 species
UUCAGAAGGAGUGGUACCAGCUCCUCUUUGUACCUCUGGUGCAAUUCUUUCAGCCCUAUUUUACAGCUCACAGAAAUUAAUUAACUGACCAGUGCUUCUGAUCUGGAAAGUGAUGGACUCAGGCUUAUAGCACAGGCAGCCUGACUCCACAGCUCAACUAUUAAACACUACUCUCAUCACCCCACAGGGCCUGAAUUUUCUGCUUCUGAAUUCAAACAUUAAAAUGUGUGGUAUAUCAGUACUUGGAUUUAUGAGGACAAUGUGGUUAAUUUAAAUGCCUUUUGGAGCAAAUAGGAAGUAUCUUAUUCCAAUUUUUUGAAGAUAAAGAAAGUGCGUGGUCAUGAACACAACAGAGGUGGUUACAAGAAGAAAUAAAAUGUUGGCUGGCAGAAGCAGCAGGGAAGAUUUCAUAUUGAAGACUAACUAGUUCUGAGACGUUUUGGAUGUCUUCUUGCAAACAAAAUAGAAUGCAACUGAGGAAAUGGCUGGUGCAAUUCAGCAAGCUUUCUGUUUUUCUCAUGCAUGAGAAAAAUGCAUUUCAGCUGAAAACAGUAUUAUGAAGGAGAAGUACUUCAAAAUAAAACACUUUACUCAACCCAAAAGACUCACUAUAAGUUCUCAAACAGUAGCUGCCACUUCCAGCUGGGAGAGAAAUGAGAGCUCUGUUCAUGGUGAUCCAGUAUCUCCAGAAUCCAUCACCACUGCUGACCUCCCACUCCAUGUCUCCAAGUGCUCUGCUAUACCUGCCACCAGCAGCUGCCACCUCCAGACUUUGGAACGUUAUAAUAAAACCUCUGUUCUACAAUCUGCCUUCUGCUUCGACAUCCUCACUCCCCACAAACAAUUCUAAUAAACAGCAAU